rnacentral:lncRNA from 1 species
CAUAGAACCCAUAUCAUAAUAUAGGUUCUUUAUUUUUUUAAAUGAAAUUAGGAAUGAUUAUGAAAUAUCAAAUUCUGAAUUUUUUUAGAAUUAUUGUGAAUCCAUUCCAAUCGAAUAUUGAGUAAUCAAAUCCUUCAAUUCAUUGUUUUGAGAUCUUCAAAAAAGUGGAUUAAUCGAACGAGGAUAAAGAGAGAGUCCCAUUCUACAUGUCAAUACUGACAAUAAUGAAAUUUCUAGUAAAAGGAAAAUCCGUCGACUUUAUAAGUCGUGAGGGUUCAAGUUCCUCUAUCCCCAAACCCUCUUUUAUUCCCUAACCAUGGUAGUUAUCCUUUUUUUUCUUUUAUCAAUGGGUUUAAGAUUCAUUAGCUUCUACUCUUUCACAAAGGAGUGUGACGAGAACUCAAUGAAUCUUAUGCUAUUCAUUAAAUAGAUGAUUUCUUUUUUAUUUGAUAGGAUUAACCUGCCCAUUUCCAAAUUUAGAAUGGAAUACUUUAUUGAUUUUUUAGUCCCUUUAAUUGACAUAGAUGCAAAUACUAUACUAGGAUGGUGCACAAGAAAGGGUCAGGAUAGCUCAGUUGGUAGAGCAGAGGACUGAAAAUCCUCGUGUCACCAGUUCAAAUCUGGUUCCUGGCGCAGAAAAAAAGGAUCUACCGAAUAGAUAUUGAUACAAAUAUCUUGAGAUGGAUUGGGGUACAUAUUCAUUA